rnacentral:rRNA from 1 species
UACGUAGGGUGCAAGCGUUAUUCGGAAUUACUGGGCGUAAAGCGUGCGCAGGCGGCUUUUCAAGUCAGAUGUGAAAUCCCCGGGCUUAACCUGGGAACUGCAUUUGUGACUGCAUGGCUGGAGUGCGGCAGAGGGGGAUGGAAUUCCGCGUGUAGCAGUGAAAUGCGUAGAUAUGCGGAGGAACACCGAUGGCGAAGGCAAUCCCCUGGGCCUGAACUGACGCUCAUGCACGAAAGCGUGGGGAGCAAACGGG